rnacentral:rRNA from 1 species
CAGUCGCCACGGUAAUACGUAGGGUGCGAGCGUUAAUCGGAAUUACUGGGCGUAAAGCGUGCGCAGGCGGUUGUGUAAGACAGGUGUGAAAUCCCCGGGCUUAACCUGGGAACUGCGCUUGUGACUGCACAGCUAGAGUAUGGCAGAGGGGGUGGAAUUCCACGUGUAGCAGUGAAAUGCGUAGAGAUGUGGAGGAACACCGGUGGCGAAGGCGGCCCCCUGGACAAAGAUUGACGCUCAGGUGCGAAAGCGUGGGGAGCAAACAGGAUUAGAUACCCCCGUAGUCCCUGUCUCUUAUACA